rnacentral:tRNA from 2 species
GUAGUCGUGGCCGAGUGGUUAAGGCGAUGGACUUGAAAUCCAUUGGGGUCUCUCCGCGCAGGUUCGAAUCCUGCCGACUACG